GCGGACGGGUGAGUAAUGCAUAGGAAUUUGCCCAGUAGUGGGGGAUAGCCCGGGGAAACCCGGAUUAAUACCGCGUACGCCCUACGGGGGAAAGCAGGGGAUCUUCGGACCUUGCGCUAUUGGAUAAGCCUAUGUCGGAUUAGCUAGUUGGUGGGGUAAAGGCCUACCAAGGCGACGAUCCGUAGCUGGUCUGAGAGGAUGAUCAGCCACAUCGGGACUGAGACACGGCCCGAACUCCUACGGGAGGCAGCAGUGGGGAAUAUUGGACAAUGGGGGCAACCCUGAUCCAGCCAUGCCGCGUGUGUGAAGAAGGCUUUCGGGUUGUAAAGCACUUUCAGCGAGGAGGAAGGCCUUCGGUUUAAUACGCCGGAGGAUUGACGUUACUCGCAGAAGAAGCACCGGCUAACUCCGUGCCAGCAGCCGCGGUAAUACGGAGGGUGCAAGCGUUAAUCGGAUUUACUGGGCGUAAAGCGCGCGUAGGUGGUUUGAUAAGCGAGAUGUGAAAGCCCCGGGCUUAACCUGGGAACGGCAUUUCGAAC
rnacentral:rRNA from 1 species